UCAGCUUCAGAGGGGGCUUCUGUACCAAGAUUUUAACAUGAUUGUUUGUGGGACAAACGAGGAUUAGUGGUUUUCCAUGGCACCCUUGCUUUUUCCUAAGUUUCUCCUACUCCAAGUGAGGACCAGGUUUAUUGUCUUUCAGACCCAAGUAAACAACCAGCCUAAUGCAGAACUUGUCUCUUUCAACAAAUGUGCUGUUUCCUACUUUCCCUGGGGCAAGAAGG
rnacentral:lncRNA from 10 species